rnacentral:rRNA from 1 species
AAUUUUGGACAAUGGGGGAAACCCUGAUCCAGCCAUCCCGCGUGUCUUAAGAAGGCCUUCGGGUUGUAAAGGACUUUUGGCAGAGAAGAAAAGGUACCUCCUAAUACGAGGUACUGCUGACGGUAUCUGCAGCAUACGCACCGGCUAACUACGUGCCAGCAGCCGCGGUAAAACGUAGGGUGCAAGCGUUAAUCGGAAUUACUGGGCGUAAGGCGUGUGUAGGCGGUUCGGAAAGAAAGAUGUGAAAACCCAGGGCUCAACCUUGGAACUGCAAUUUUAACUGCCGAGCUAGAGUAUGUCAGAGGGGGGUAGAAUUCCACGUGUAGCAGUGAAAUGCGUAGAUAUGUGGAGGAAUACCGAUGGCGAAGGCAGCCCCCUGGGAUAAUACUGACGCUCAGACACGAAAGCGUGGGGAGCAAACA